rnacentral:rRNA from 1 species
CCUACGGGAGGCAGCAGUGAGGAAUAUUGGUCAAUGGACGAGAGUCUGAACCAGCCAAGUAGCGUGAAGGAUGACUGCCCUAUGGGUUGUAAACUUCUUUUAUAUGGGAAUAAAAUGUUCCACGUGUGGGAUUUUGUAUGUACCAUAUGAAUAAGGAUCGGCUAACUCCGUGCCAGCAGCCGCGGUAAUACGGAGGAUCCGAGCGUUAUCCGGAUUUAUUGGGUUUAAAGGGAGCGUAGGUGGAUUGUUAAGUCAGUUGUGAAAGUUUGCGGCUCAUCCGUAAAAUUGCAGUUGAAACUGGCAGUCUUGAGUACAGUAGAGGUGGGCGGAAUUCGUGGUGUAGCGGUGAAAUGCUUAGAUAUCACGAAGAACUCCGAUUGCGAAGGCAGUUCACUGGACUGCAACUGACACUGAGGCUCGAAAGUGUGGGUAUCAAACAGGAUUAGAUACCCGAGUAGUC